GCCAAUCAGAGAUCACCUCUGUUGGGGAGUGGGGAAAAGGGAGGAGCGGUGAAGUGGACUUGGAGGGAAUGACGCGGGAGCAGAGCGGGAAAAGAAAAUGGAGUUUUAAUGCUGAGGUGAUGAUUGUAGACUAAAGUACUGCUACAGUAGUGGCGCAAAUAUCAUUUUGUUCAGCGAAGAGUCGUGUGCAACUCUGUUUGGUAACUUUGUGAACCGUAGGUUUAAGUGAAGUGCAGCAAGGUUAUCUGCGUUUAUUGUUUUGCACUAGCUUGAAAAGGGCUAAGUAUAAACUGUAACCCGUGGACGUUUAAGCUAAUGUCGUCGUGAGAGACGGACAGCUGUAACCGCCAGCCGCAGUUUUCACCGUGGAACUGAAGGGACAAGGACUGUGGAGAACUGUGCCAAGGAGCGCGGUAACUACGCCUGUGUAAGAAGGGACUCUAUCGCAGAACUUGCAUCGCUGUAUCGACUCUUACCUGCUGGACCCUCUGCAGCGGAUUCAUUCACUCAGCUCGUUUCGAAUAAACAGCAGGGCAGCUCGGACGAGUGGACAAUGUGUCCUACAAUGUGUCGGGUUCUGGAAGAACUGUUUCCCCUCCCACCUGGUGAGAGAAACCUCCUCUUUCUGUCCUCACACUCCCAAUUUUAGACAAAGGUGAUACCUGUUAAUAUUUGUAUACCGUAGACACAUGCUUGUAUGUGAUAUGGUGUGAAAAUAUUUAGGUUAUUCUACACUUUUGAGUGUGCUGGGUGUACGCUGUCUACCUCACAACACUUUCUGGCUGUAUGUGGACCAUGGCUUUCUACACCCCACUGAGCCUUUUGUGUCAUGCCUUAUGACGGGUGAUGGUUACUACUACACAUGCACACAGAAAACAUAUAUGAAUGAUUAUGGAAGUUUUGGCAAAGAGUACUGUUUUUUCACUGUGAAUCUCCGCCUUAAUCUGAGACCAUUUUGUUUUCCUCACGAAAAAGGAAAACCAGUUACUCUUCUACUUCAUUGUAAACACGGAAGAUACUGUCACUGUGAAUAAGACUUAAAAAAUAAAAUUCAUAAGGUCCUCUUGAUAUCGAAAACUUCUGGUACUGGGAGAAAGCACAGUGUUUGAAGGUAUACACUUAAAAAGUUAUAAAUUAGGAGUUAUAUUCUGCUUUGAUCUCACAGACCAUUAUAGAAGACCAUUAGGAUAUGCGUAUGCACAAGUCAGCAUCAUAUCAUCGACGCAGUGCAGUUAAGGAGCAGGAUACGUUGCAGGCAAACUUUUUAUUGAUGUCAAAAGAAAAGCUUGUUUACUGUCUUUGGAUCCCUUCUCGCUAUAGUUCUGAUUAACUUGUUCUUCAUUCUCUUUUGCUGAUCUAGAUAACAACGGCAACGAAGAGGUGAAAUUCGGUGUCCUGAAAAGACUUCGUGAGUGCCUGGCGCAGAGAGUGUGUCAGCUUUGGGAUCAUCCAGUCAGCUCAGCCUGCAUCACCAGACAGUGUGUGAGAAGACUAUUGGAGAAAUACACCAAGACCAAGGUGGUGUUUGGGUCGUCAUCAUGCUGGAAUACUGCCCUGCGGCCCAGUCACUGAAGGGAAGGGAUCAUUCUCUGCUUCAAAGAGGCUUCCUUCUGGGAAGACAGCCAUGCAGACCAAUUUGACGCGGUGUGCGGCGUAUGGUCUGAGCACUGACAGGCUGACCCCCCACCCCUUCAACCUCUGCAGCAAUGCUGGCAGCACUCGAACGUCUAUUUCCCAAAGACAACCUCUGGAUCCUCAGAGUUCUUUGCCAUGAGGUGCCAUGUUGAACUUCCAGUGACCAGUAUGAGGGAGUGUGAGAGCGGUGACACCAAAUUUAACACACCUGCUCCCAAUUCACACCUGAGACCUUGUAACACUAACAAGUCACAUGACACUGGGGAGGGAAAAUGGCUAAUUGGGCUCAAUUUGGACAUUUUCAGUUAGGGGUGUAAUCACUUGCGAGUGUGUGUGCGAGUGUGAUCAUCAUUUUCAAACACUUUUGAAGUGGGGGUGGGCGUGGGUGUAUUGUGGAUGAUGCACAUAAUUUUUAUAGUCAUCUCUGAGGCUUUAAGGUGCUCUCUCUCUCUCUCUCUCUCUCUCUCUCUCUCUCUCUCUCUCUCUCUCUCUCUCUCUCUCUCUCUCUCUCUCUCUCUCUCUGUGUGUGUGUGUGUGGUUACUUGGUCACUGGGAGGAAGCAGCUACAGAUUUGGCUACAGCCUGCAAACUGGACUACGAUGAAGAUACCAGUGCCAUGCUGAAUGAGGUUCAACCUAAAGCCAACAAGGUCCAGGUGCACCGGUGUAAAUACGAGAGGAGAGCAAGAUCAGAGAGCGGCAGGAGCGAGUGAAGAACGCAAGGGAGGAGCAUGAGAAAGCACAGAGGGUGAGACAGAGUGGUGCAGUUUCUUUACACUGAAUCUUAGAGAGUACUGUUAAAACUGUCUGUGUGUGUGUGUGUGUAGGAAGCCAGGCAGGAGGAGGAGCACAAGGAGGAUUCCUAGGUGUGUGUGAUGAUGAUGAUAAACACAGAGGUGUGUGCAUGUGUGAUGUGAUGCAGCACGAAUAGGAAGCUGGUUGGGUGUUAUUGUGCUGUGGUGUUUAUGUUCCGUGCUCCUGUAGGUUCAGGAGGUUUUCCAGGCGGAGCUCUGUUCGGCAUGCCCGGCUUGCAGGAGCUCUUUAACGACCCGAGGUGCUCAUGGCCAUGAAGGUGUGGAACCAAUCCCCAAGCAGUUCAAAAUGCUGUUAUAGUGCCGUCAAAUCAACCUUCAUCUGUAGCUACUUAAAAUGCUAGUUAAAUCAAGUAACGAAUAAAAAGGGUUUUUAUGCCAUUAAAGGAGAAAAAUCCUUUAAGGACGUGCAUAUUAAUCUUCAUAAACAAAGUCUUACCUUCAAAGUUUCCCAGGUUCUGAUUUGCACCUCAUUUUCAAUGUAGUUAACAGGUUCCUACGUUACCCACAAUGUCCGUGGAAUUCGAAGCAUGUGGAUCUCUCAAACGAUUGUUGAGGUAUUUUAUAAUCGAUGCAAUCAAUGUAAUCGUGUGUGUGUGUGUGUGUGUGUGUGUGUGUGUGUGUGUGUGUGUGUGUGUGUGUGUGACGCUGAAGUGAUGGCAGCCUUCCAGGACGUGGCUCAGAAUCUAGCCAACCUCUCCAAAUACCAGGGCAACCCGAAGAUCAUGGCUCUCACCAACAAACUGAGCUCCAAGUUCAACCCGCAAGCCUAGGCAGCUGAAGGACACGUGUUUAGUGAUGAGGUCAAUGCUCUGAAAUAGCGCUUACUGCCCCACUCUCUCUGUCUCUCUCUCUCUUGCUUACAUGAUGUAUUUCUUCCUCUGCACUAACACGGGUGGUGACUGGAUGGAGGUGAGAGAAACAUGUAGUAAAUGAUUUUUAACUCGCACACUAGAUAGAUUUCAGGAAUAUUAGAGAGCAUUGGAUGGAACACCACCAUGAAGGAGUUAGGCAUAGGGAACAGCUUAUCAGUGUAAACCAUUAAAGGGGAAAAAAGAAGGGGGGAGACCACACGGUCUCAGUUUAACACUUCCUGGAACAGUCCUGAAUCACACUGUAAACAGAACCGGGCUGCGAUUGGUGUUUGAAAUGGUCCAGUCACUGCCUUGGAUACUGAACCUGACUGAUUUUUAUGUCUUUUCACCCUGACUGUGUACCAAUCCUUUACCGCACUUAACCCAAGCUGACAUGGAGAUUAUUCUAAAAGAGUUAAACUGACCAUCAUUCCAUCCAGUCAGGUCUUAAAGUUUUCUGAAUUGGUGUUGGGUUUUUUCUGUUCUACUCUGUGAACAAAACAGAGAAAUGACAUGGUAAAAUGUCCCCCCUCCCCCCUCUUACCCCCUUGACCAGGAGCAUUUAUUUCGAUCUCAACGACUAUUUCAAUCAAUAAAGGUUUGGGUUGUUGUAGAUCUGACGCCUUGUGGGUUUUUAAUAUUGAAGGAGAAUGCAUCAUGAAACAAAAUCAGCCAUGCUGUGUUCAUAUAAAACAGUGGUUCUCAACCAGGGGGGCAUGGGGAGAUGGGAAGGAGGUGGUGUGAAUUUAAAAAAAAAAAAAAAAAAAAAAAAAAAGACUGGGCAUCAUUUGGGCACUUAGUGUAUUUCAAUUGCUUUUCAAAUUGAAUGAUAUAUUUUAUAUAGAAUGGAUAAUCAUUAUACCUUUUUUCCUCCAAUAUAGGGUGAGCCACAUGAUGGGGAAGACUAAGACACUUUAGUUGCAAAAGGUUGAGAUCCUCUGAUGUAAAAGAUCCAUAAGACACUACUGCUUUAAUAUGCUUUAAUAAAUUGGAUACAUGAAAGAUUAGAUUUAAAAAGAAGAAAAUAGCAUAUGAGCGUAGAAUCAGUAACUUGUUACUGUAAGAAUGGGGUCACACUGUGAUGGGAUUGAACGUUAUUUUAUUCCUCAACGUAGACAAUCAAGUAACGUUGCUGUUGGUGUACCAAUGCAGAGCGACUGUUUCCACCCUGAAGUUGAGUAUUUUCCCAUAACAGCAUGGACCAAAGUGUUUUACUCUUCUUAAUUUCUCAAUAAUUACACUUUAUUUAUUAACUCCAGACACAGGAUCCCUUUUAUAGUCAGUUUAUAGUUAUUUGAUAGUUAGCAAACUUUGUUAGUUCCAUAGUUUAGUUGGUCGAAGUCAAUGAACUGUUACUAUAGAAACAACUUUUUUUUUUUUUUUAAAGCAGUUUAUUCAUUUUAAAAUAAACGGAGAAUCGUGUGUGUUGCAGCGAUCACACAUCCUCAAAUGUCCAUGACCUCCUGUCCAAAGGACAUAUGUUUUGCUCUUCUAGCCAGCGGGAGAUACAGUGGAAGUGAAAUCUAUGCUGAACAUGGACAAACACACAGUAUUACAGCACCACUAUCUGUACAAUUAUGCAUAUUGAUUUGUAUUCUAUUACAUCCAAAUCACUGAGGUAUAGAAAUGCAGUGAAGGACUGUGUGUGUGUGUGUCUUACAUUACACACUCCCCUGGACACUGGGCACUCCUCACGUGUGACAGCAGGGAUUAUGUCCUCACAUUCUGAACCUGCACGCGCACACAACACACAGACACGUCAAACAGUAAUCGGGAACUGGCUGCAGGCAGAAACUAAAGUUGUGAGCAUGGAAGUGAAGAAAUGUUGGACCACAUGCUCCGUAACAUUAGUCGACACAAUCAGUUGAAUUUGUUGCUCUACCACAACAUCGUCAUUUUUGCUGCGAAAUCUGUAAAGACUAGAAAAAGACCAGGUUAUUUAUUAGCCCAUGCCCAUGAUCGCCUCAGAUUCCUGUUCUUCUGCUUUUGUAGCUCAUCCACCUAAAGGUUUGAUCUUUUGUGCAUGCCGAGAUGGUUUUCUGCUCACCGCGUUUGUAAAGAGUGAUUAUACGAGUGACUAGAUCCUUCCUGGCAGCUCAAACCUAUCUGCCCAUUUUCCUCUGAUCUCUCUCUCAUCGACAAGGUGUUUCCACCCACAGAACUGCAAUAUUUUGAUCUUCAUCUAAGUCAUUGGUAUUGACAAAUAUAAUGUGUGUAAAAUAACACAAAAUAAAUUCUGAUCCCUCAUGUCUUUUUAAAGUAGACGGUGACUCACACAGAGCGCAUGGAUAAUUUUGUUCUUUUUGGACACCUUCACACCUGCACAGCAACGAAGAACCUCGUCAUUGGCUAUCUGUUAGAGCUAUCUGACCUCCGACCUCCUUGUUAGAUACAUGAUCUCAACACCUCACUGAGCUAAUCAACUGCACUUAAAAUAAAGGUUCCCCAGGCCCCUGGAACAGAGGGAGAGAUGUGUGUUCGCAAUAAAACAAACAAACACACACAAAGAAAGUCUUGAUGGUCUCAAUUCCAAUGGUUACUGACAACAAAUAUAGAAUGAAUGUCAUAAAAUGUAAAUAUAUACACACACCAAUUAUGUAUAAUUAAAUAAAUAUUUUUGAGACGGUUAAGCAUGUAGGUUUAAAAUAACCCCAGAAGAAAUCUCAAAACGCACUGCAGGAAACAUUAUUCCAUAAUACUUUUUGUCCAAUAAACAUCACAAGUCCGAGAAAAUUCUAGUUGUUUAGAUUUAAAAUAGGAUUAUCGAUAAAACUCAGCUAUAUUAGCAAAACGGCCUACAUAGUUUAUAUAACUGAGAUUAUUAUAAUUUAUUUAAUUAUAGUUUAUAUACAUAUAUAU